rnacentral:rRNA from 1 species
UACGGAGGGGGCUAGCGUUGUUCGGAAUUACUGGGCGUAAAGCGCACGUAGGCGGCUUUGUAAGUUAGAGGUGAAAGCCCGGAGCUCAACUCCGGAAUUGCCUUUAAGACUGCAUCGCUCGAAUCAUGGAGAGGUGAGUGGAAUUCCGAGUGUAGAGGUGAAAUUCGUAGAUAUUCGGAAGAACACCAGUGGCGAAGGCGACUCACUGGACAUGUAUUGACGCUGAGGUGCGAAAGCGUGGGAGCA